AAAACGAUAGCACAUCUGAGUAAUCACUGAUUUCAGAAGUAAUUUGUGUGUGUGUGUGUUGAUGAGAAUAAAAGACCGAAGGCAUGAUAUUACCUGUAGAAGUCGUUGCACAAGUCGUCGGAGGUGGAGGCGGAGGUGCUGUGGCGUAGCAAUUGGAGGUGGUGCCGGAGGUGCUGUGGCCUAGCAGUCGAAGCUGGAGACGGAGAGGAGGCCGACGACUGCGAAGACGGGGAGGGAACACAACUUCGAUAGAUCGAUGGAGGUUUGUGUGUGCGUGUUGAUGAGAAGAAAGGAGUGAGGCGUGAUUUCGAGAA
rnacentral:lncRNA from 1 species